AAAAUGUCAAAACACACCAGUUAAACCUAAGAUCUGUUUGUGUCGCCUCCUUCAUCAUCGACUCUCACUACAAUCACUGCUCACCAAAAAUCACCGAAGAUUGAAGUUGAUAAAAAAGUUCCCUCAAAACUUGACUACAUCACCCUCGCUACACCUUCAUUCCAAAUCCAACCUUGUAUCCUUCCCCAAACCGCUCACCUUCCCCAAAUCAGGAACCACAGCUAACGCUGGAAUCCUUUGUCUGCUUUCUUUUGAGCUCCGCUCAGUCAAACCUCUCCUUGGUUUGCAUGCGUGAAAUCAGUCAACUUUGUUGAGAAGCUGAAUGUUUGGAGAUUCCUUUAUGCUUGAUGGAUAGGCUUGGUCAUAAACUCCCGAUGGGUCGGCAUCUCUAUUUCCUCCACAUUCUUGGUUCGUGAUGAUAACUGCGAUAAAGAGCACAAGCCAUUGGAGAGAUUCUAGCUAAUGCUCGAUAUCACAGUUCACAUCACGAAGUUGAGGUUCUUUUCACCAGUGCUAUAUCACCUUGUGAGCCGUCGAUUAAGCCGAUAUUUCUUUUUCCCCCUCAUCUCAAUCAAUUUCAUACUUGUAGGGUUUUCAGUCAUUUUAUUAGCUAACAAAAAUAGGUUAGGAUGCAGUUAAAUUCUCAGCUAUCAUUUGCUAAAUUUCUUUUUUGCAUUCUCUUACUUCUUAUUUUUAUUUCUGUUAAUAACUAUUGUUAGGUUGAUUAAG
rnacentral:lncRNA from 1 species